CCUACGGGAGGCAGCAGCGGGGAAUCUUGCGCAAUGGGCGAAAGCCUGACGCAGCCAUGCCGCGUGAAUGAUGAAGGUCUUAGGAUUGUAAAAUUCUUUCACCGGGGACGAUAAUGACGGUACCCGGAGAAGAAGCCCCGGCUAACUUCGUGCCAGCAGCCGCGGUAAUACGAAGGGGGCUAGCGUUGCUCGGAAUUACUGGGCGUAAAGGGAGCGUAGGCGGAUAGUUUAGUCAGAGGUGAAAGCCCAGGGCUCAACCUUGGAAUUGCCUUUGAUACUGGCUAUCUUGAGUGUGGGAGAGGUAUGUGGAACUCCGAGUGUAGAGGUGAAAUUCGUAGAUAUUCGGAAGAACACCAGUGGCGAAGGCGACAUACUGGCCCAUUACUGACGCUGAGGCUCGAAAGCGUGGGGAGCAAACAGGAUUAGAUACCCUGGUAGUCCACGCUGUAAACGAUGAGUGCUAGUUGUCGGCAUGCAUGCAUGUCGGUGACGCAGCUACGCAUUAAGACACUCCGCCGUCGGGGAGGUACGGUCGCGAAGAAGUUAAAACUAACGAAAGGAAAGUUAGACGGCGUGAGACGUGCCGAACGGACGACGACCGAACGGGGAAGGUUAGGG
rnacentral:rRNA from 1 species